rnacentral:rRNA from 1 species
GACGAACGCGGGGGCGUGCUUAACACAUGCAAGUCGAACGGUGAAGGGAUCAGCUUGCUGUUUCUGGAUGAGUGGCGAACGGGUGAGUAACACGUGAGUAACCUGCCCCCUUUUCUGGAUAACCGCAUGAAAGUGUGGCUAAUACGGGAUAUUCUGGGUCUGUCGCAUGGCGGGCCUGGGAAAGAUGCGCCUUUGGGUGUUUUUGGUGGGGGAUGGGCUCGCGGCCUAUCAGCUUGUUGGUGGGGUGAUGGCCUACCAAGGCGGUGACGGGUAGCCGGCCUGAGAGGGUGGACGGUCACACUGGGACUGAGACACGGCCCAGACUCCUACGGGAGGCAGCAGUGGGGAAUAUUGCACAAUGGGCGCAAGCCUGAUGCAGCGACGCCGCGUGAGGGAUGGAGGCCUUCGGGUUGUAAACCUCUUUCGCCAGUGAAGCAGGCCUGCUCCUUGUGGGUGGGUGACG